UGAGAACUGGAGUGUGCCAGCUUCCUGCCUCCUUGUUGUCCAAUGUCCAAUGGGAACUUGUGAGAGUCCGCUGUCAAGACAGUUCUUCCUCUGGCCACUCACCAUGGUUUUCUGCCCCUGCUAACCUCAUCCCUACAAGCUGUAUCUAUGUCCCUAGCCAGCGCUAGCCCACCCUAUGGCUCCAGGCUGUCGGAAGUCUCUGGAUAUGAGCCUCCCCUGUGAGGCCCCCUUGGGGGCUCUGAGCUUGUUUUCCAGGAAACAGCACGCGCAGGCCAGAGCAGUUCCUGCUGCUUCCUGGAACUGGCCUUCUAAGAACUGGAUGGGGGGGGGGGACUUGGGGUGGGCAGCUACAGAGGGGCUCUCUGCUUCCUCCAGGUAGUGUGCAGGUAUGUGUAGAGAGUGGCCUCUGCUGUCAGGCAGCAGGGGAUACCCUCCCAGCUCUGCCACAGGCCCUUCUCAGCACACCCCUAGCCUGAGUUUUUGGGGUUGGGGGUGUGACCAUGGGGUAGGGCAUCUGUUACUGAGCUCAGCUGUCUCCUGUUGGAGCCACUUCAUAAGCGCCUCCUGCUGGUCAAGUAAGCCCUUGGGCAGAUCCCGGUACUGGGUUUCAUCUCGGUUUAGAGGGAAGAUGUCAUGUACGUCAUAAGUCACCUGUGUGUGAGGUACCAGGUGUGCUAGCUAACUGACACCCUGGUGUCAAAGGGGAUUGUGAGCUCCGUGCAAAAGGUCGCCUGGUGCCUGCAGGAGAGAGCUGAUGUGAUGAUGGCUUUGUGAGGGCAGGAAGGCACACAGCUGGGACAACAGAAGAAAGCCUGGGGCCUCUGGAGACCUGAGGCUGGAGGUCAUCAGGGGUCCUGGAAGAGUCACUGUGGAGGUCAAAGUGGGAAUCCGAGAGGCUGUGAAGGAAGAUAUCAGUGCACAGUGGGGAUGCUCAAGCUUGGGCAUUGUGCCUGAAGAAGGUUAUAGGGGAAGGCCAAGCCUAGCCUGACCCAGAGAGGUGGUUGCAGGCAGACUGCAGCUCGAGCAGGGACAGGGCGUGGGAUCUGAGGACCAGGGCUUUGGGGUGCACACAGCUGCUGCAUGCCCUGCUGAGCAGCGGGGUCUUAGGCUGGAUUCCAACUCCUCCCUGCUCUGGGGAGCAGCUGCAAACCUCAAAGUCCACAGCAAGGGUGGGGAGAUGGCCUUGGCCCAGAACCUGUGCUCAGAACUCACAGCUUGGAGCACAGGGAAGGGGACCUGUCAGCGUGAGGCCUGACUUUCUAGUAAUCUCUGUCAAAAGAGAAACGACAAUAGAGUGAGGCCGUUCUAGGCGAAGCGCACAAAGACACCCAGGGACACACGUACUAGGGAGCACCACUGGGAGACGCAAGUGCACACAUUACAGAGGUUGUGGGCGUGUAGGCACUUGGGCUGAUCCUGGUACAAGAUGCAACACACGUUCACCAGCAUACAUGUGCAUGCGGAGAUAUGACAAGUCAAUCACACUCAGACACAUGACCCUAGCUGCUAGGAGACUAUCCCUGGCCCUGACAUCCCAGGGCCUAGGUGUGGAAGACAGGAGGACUCCUCACCCUCCACAGCCGCCUCCCGCUAUAGGAGAAGCAAGAAGAAAUAAGGACAGUCGCAGGCACUGAGAGAGACUUGCUUCCAAAAGAGGCUGUGAAAUGGGUCUGAGGAGUGAGCACCCUCUGCGGUGCAGCCUGCCACAGCGCCAACUCUGUGGAAGAGGAGGAGUAGGAGUUGGAGAGCGGAAUGAGCGUCAGCUGGGACCCACUUGCCUGCCUGCCUGCCUGCCUAGCUGGACCCAGAUAAGGAUGAGGCCUGUGGGGAACCUCACAGGCAAGAGGGCCUCUCCAGAGCACAGCCAAUGUGCGAAGUUUGAGGGCCCUGAGUAUCUCUUCAGGGUUGGCUCUGAGAAAGGUGAUAACGAUGUCGAGUUCAGGAAGGCGUUCUCCAGAGGCCACAGUGUGGGGAGACCAGAGCCUUGGACAGCCUCCAUGAGCCUGUGGGUGGUAAGCAUCUGUAUGCCAGGCCUGGAUACUCACUCACACAGGGCUUCCUGCCUCCUGCUCCCUGGACUUCUGGGCCUUCCCUGAAGUGGCAGUCCCCAUCCUUUUCCAGCCUCCUUCCACCUUCUCCGCAGGGGUCCCGAGCACAGCCCCUCACCUCCACAGAGGUGGCUUGGCCAGGCCUUGGAAUACUUCCCACCCCAGGGGCCUGCCAUACAUACUUCAGUUUCUCCCAGCUGCUGCAGACAGACCCAGUGGGCCCAGCCCGGCAUCCAUUCUGCCUGUUUUGUUUGUUCUAUCAAAAAAAAUAAUUUAAAUGAAAGUAAGAAAGAAAAACCCACGGGGAGAUCCUUGUAAACAGAAUUAAAUCCCACUCAGGUUCCAGACCGUGAGUCAUUGUUGGUUUGCCGGGAGGACUGUAGGCUCUCUCAAAGACGCCUAGGUCUCUGAGGACAUGGCUGCAGACCCCUGAGGCCCAGGGUCCCUUCAGCCUCUUCUUCUGUCUUUUGCCCUUCCUGCCCCUGCCCUUUCUUUGCACUCUGGACCCCCAAGAUGUACCACAGCUCAGCCCCUCGUCUUUGGGCUCAGUCUCUGUUAAAAUAGCCU
rnacentral:lncRNA from 1 species